CCUUAAGCUCGUAGUUGAAUUUCGGGGUUCUACCGUCGGUCGGGCUACCAAGUCUGUACUGGUGUGUAGAAUUUCUACCUUCUGGGGAACUAUCAUGUUAUUAAUUUAGCGUGGUGGGAAACCAGGACCUUUACCUUGAAAAAAUUAGAGUGUUCAAAGCAGGCUUAUGUCUGAAUACAUUAGCAUGGAAUAAUAGAAUAGGACGGUGGUCCUGUUUUGUUGGUUUCUGAAUCACCGUAAUGAUUAAUAGGGAUAGUUGGG
rnacentral:rRNA from 1 species